CCCGGGCUGAGGGAUGAGCCCGGCGCCGCGGGGUCCCUGUGGGGACCGGCACUGCCGAGCAGCUCCGGGGGCUGAGCGGGACUCUCUGGGUGGGGCUCCAGCGCCUUGCAAAGCCCAUCGCUCCUGUGGCAGCGCAGAGAGGCCCGCGGGCCUGUGACCACCCCCGGCAGGGUGCCCGGGGCCGCAGGGCCACCCCGGCUCCCCGCAGCUCCCGGCGGGAGAGGCACGGGCCGUGGGAUCUGCCGGGGCCGCGGCCCUCCGAGAGUAUUGUUUCUAAUUAAUGCCUGUGUGGUAGCCUAAUUUGUGUUACCGGGCUCUCUGGAGUAUUGUAGCAACAAAGAUUGCCUGUGCCUGUGGAAGUUGAUUUGAAGUCCUAGGAAUUUAAUUGCUUGACCAUCUACUUGUGUAGUCUAAAAUCUUCCGUCUGAAGAAUACAACACAAGUACUUGUUUUGAAUAGAUGUAUCAGCUGAGUCUCAAUAGAGACCUUCCCCACUAAGAGGCAGCAAGGGGAAGAGCUGGGAAGGGGCUGCACCUGGUUAGUGGAAGGUUUCCUUUCUGUCUUCCUCUGUCCCUUCUUAGAGCUGUCUGUUUGGAAAUGCUCGACUAUGUUGUGAUGUGCAAUUCUCAGAGAAGAAACAUGGCAGAGACCAGCAGACAUUCAUUUGAAAUGAUUUUCAUUCACUGCAUUCUGGAAUGGACUUGAAAGCAGGUCUCAGAGGCAACUUGAAGGUGGAAAUUGCCAAUCUGUUGACAGGAAGUGCUGGAAGAAGCAAUGUGAGUGAUUUCCUUGGUGACUAUCAGACACUUCGGGCCAGGCUUUCAAACUACAUUUGUAAUAAAAGAAAUACACAAAUGCA